CUCUUUCUUUCUUUGACCUGUUUCUCAUUUGCUCUUGUUUUUCCUUUCAGAAUAAUUAUGGCCAAUUGGAAGCCUAUGGAGCACCAGAUGAUGCUAAGUACAUGAAAAUUAUGCUCCCAAUUACUUUUUCUCUGGUUCCAGUUUUUUCCACUGAGUAUUUCUGCCACUUAGUUUCUUACCUUCGCUACUCGAUUUCUUAUAAGAUUUUUUCUAUUUUGGGUCAUUGCUGUAUUUAUGAAGAACAUAUAAGCAUACCUGCUUUGGGGAUUCAAUUUUCCUCUGCCAUUUCGAAUUUCACAGAUGAUAUCUGUCGCGUCAUGUCUGACUAUAAAAGGUUCUCAAGAUGGAGCCACCAACAAAUAAAGAAACAUAGAUUCUGAGUCCCAUCCUGUGGGAACAAAAAGUUGGUUUCAAACUGUAAGUGACGGGACUAACUAGCAAUUUUGUUAUAUGUAGAAUAAAUAUCAUUCACUUAGUACAAAGGGGUUAUAUUAGUAAUAUAACCUAAUAGUUCAUUAACCGCACCAGUCCAUUUGAAAUAAGCAAGCAUAAGCUCUUUUUGUGCGAUUGAAGAUAGUUGUUGUUGUUAGUUCCGAGCAUAUGCUCUUUUUUCAGGAUUGAAGACAGUUGUUGCGGUUGGUGAAACAUGUGCAAGAGUCAACUGAAAAUUGGCUUUCCUUUGCACAGAGGAAUGUGUUUUAAUGCAUUGUUAGUGUGGUGAAUGGCUCUUGCGUUCGUGCUACCUUCCUACUUGGUUUAAAAGAAGCUUUACAGUGGAAAAUAGGAAAAGUUAUAGAUGACCCACAGGCAAGCAUCUUGAUGCUUUUACAGUUGGUUGUGCCCUUAAUUAAUUGCCUUUCAAAAGCUUUCACUCAGUUAUGCGCAAAUUGUUAGGCAAUACUAAUUACUCUCAAAUCUGCAUCUUUACUAUUGUGCAUAGCAUUUAUCUAACAAAAAAGUAAAACUCGCUGAAAUCUAUUGAGGAAGUUAAAUAACUUUUGUUUGUUAUGAAAAUUUAUUCAAACAUGUGGGCAUUUUAUGCUAUCCUGCGUUAUUGUUACGUAGAAAUAGAAUCCUGCUUAGUUGCUUCAGCGACGAGUUUUAGCCUUCUCUUCGCUUUAAUAGGAGCUCUAGUGGACAUGGGCAGAGAGCAAGCAGAGCGUAUCAUUCGUAAUGGGAAUAAAGGUACCACUAAUUUGCCUCUUUGUUGGACUGCUGGCACAGAAAAAUCGGUCUCUGACCAGAACCAAGAACCAAUUGGAAUCUGAAUCUUGACAGUCAUUUUGCAGGACAAUAAAGUAUUUAAUUUACUAUAGCUUGCUGACUUUUUGUCUUGUACAUAGAUGUUCCAGUGACCUCUAUAGUCACGGAACAAAGGUGAGCACUUCACCUAACUUGAUUGCAGUUUUGCAAGUUCAAGUAAUGCUUCUUUGACAACAUAAUGUCUUCUUCAGCUGGAUUGUCGGUACACCAUGCUGCUCGCUGAUUCACCUGUCGUCUCUCAAUCGUCUUAACCAGUAAGGUCUCAUCUGCAAUUUAGUUUCUUCAGUUUUUCUUGUUCUUGCUAUGGCUUCUUAGCAUUUGCGAAGAAACUGCGGGAUUGUGCAAAAUAAAAAAAUGAAAA